rfam:Populus trichocarpa scaffold_4_contig_46, whole genome shotgun sequence.
GGAUCAGCAAGGGGCAAAGAUGCAUAAGAGAGAUGUACAAGGGUAGGGAAGGGGAAGAGAAAGAUCGAUAUCGACUACCCUUCUUUUUCUCUUAUGCAUUUUUGUCCCUCGCUAGUCU